UCCAUAAACAAAGACCAUUCACAAUCACAAUCACAUUCACAUGCAUCGUUUUUUCGCCCUUUGCUUCUCCGCAUCUUAACUAAAUCAGAGAGAGACUGAACAAAAUAGAAAAAAAUAAAAAAUAAAAAAGAAGAAAUUCGCUUAGAUCUACGACGAAGAGCAAUCAUAUCCAUCUUUGACACUUAAUCUCACAAUCACAACGCUUGCUAGAAAUGCAGAAGACGGCACAAGCAUGGUUCAUCGGAGGUCCGAGCACCGCAAACUCAAACGGCCACCGACAAAAGCCUUCGUCUCUGCUGGCUGAUUGGAACUCUUUCGCCUCUUCUCGAGAAUCCGAUUCCUCCGCAUUCGAUCUGAAAGCUGCUCUGCACCACCACUGACAAAGUUAGCGGCACAUGAUAUGUUUUGUAUGUUUGAGAGAUUUGAGUGGACUCCAACACCAUUCCAAUGGUACAGAAGGCAAUGGCGGUGGGGCUGAUGAAAGGCCUGAGGACUCUAGGAAAUCCACUUAUGAGGUGCAUGAUGAGGCUGAGCAAGAAUCCAGCUCUUAGAUAUAUCUCAGAGUUGCUUUGGGAUCAGGGUGUGUACAGUGGCGAAGGAAUCAUCAACUGAAUAGCUGUUUAGAAGGUUUUAUGCUUCUUUUUCACAUGUUUGUUUCCCUACUCUGUCUCAAUCAUGGUUAUUAUGGUAGUUGAUAAUGAUAAAAAUGUAUAUUUUAUUACUAAAUGUUGAUAAAAAGAAAAAUUACAAUAAAGCCUUCCUGUUACAACUAUACUACAUGUUAAACUGUGUGUAUAGUCUGAAUCUGGAUAUUCUUGAAACUGUCAUUAAUUAACCAGAUUAAACAUCAACAUCUUCACCUACUUUACUCAUUUCAGAUGUACAUUGCUUCUUAAUUGAGGACAUUAAUAUAUACUAACAAAGAUAUAUUUUAUUAUUUUAAUAAAAAAAUGUAUGAGAUUGACAUAAUGUUUGAUACAGAUAAAGUUUAUGUUGCAUUUCAUGAUGAAUCCUGGGGAAUUCCAGUUUAUGAUGACAAGUAAGUCAGUUGUAAUAUUUAAUCCAGUGAAUAUAUAAAUUAUGAAAAAUCAGUGCCAACUUUUAAAUGGAAAAUUAUCAUCAAACAGUCAACUGUUCUAGCUACUUGCAUUGUGUGGUAUGUUGAUGGAUUACAACUAGAUUGAAAUCUUGAAAAGGAAAGAAUUAUUCAGGUACUACUUCUUUUGCACUACUCAAAUGUAACUAAAAUUUACAUAUUUUAAGAUACCUUCAUCAUAAAUCUAAACAUUUGGUCGAUAACGUAGAGAAGCUUUUGCGGGAUUCGAUCCUCAGGUUGUUGCCAAAAUGGGGGAGAAAGAGAUCUUAGAGAUAUCAUCAGACAGAGCAAUAAUGUUGGCAGAGAGCAGAGUGAGGUGCAUACUGGACAAUGCCAAAUGCAUAAUCAAAGUCCUUCAGUAGCUUUAUGUGGGGUUAUGUAAAUUACAAACCAGUUAUUAAUAAAUACAGAUACCCAAGAAAUGUUCCCUUAAGGACUCCAAAAGCUGAAGCCAUAAGCAAGGAUUUACUGAAGCAUGGGUUCCAAGUUGUUGGACCGGUGAUAGUUUACUCAUUCAUGCAGGCGGCAGGGCUGACAAUUAAUUGAUAGAUCUGAGAGUUGCUUUGGGAUCAGGGUGUGUAUGAUGGCGAAGGAAUCAUCAACUGAAUAGCUGUUUAGAAGGUUUUAUUCUUCUUUUUCUUAUGUUAGUUUCUGUUGCUUUAUAAACAUUUUUAAAUAGUCAAUUUUUGUUCCAACUUCCGUUGAGUCAAAUAUAUUGAUUAUUUAUUGCACGAGUUUGAGAGGUUGAGUGGCAACAAUGGAAGUGAUGCCGCCUUCAACAAAUCCUUUAACACCUAUUCUCUUCUCAGAAAAUUAAAACCAAAGAAACGAAAGAGUUGGGUGAUUACGAGGUGUGCGAUGAAAUGUGAUCCUCAAGUUCUCUAAGUUUGUUACUAAUUUUGAUCCUGACGUUAUUGCUAUACAGAUCAGUCAUUUUUUAUCAUUCUCUCUGUUGAUGUACUUUUAUUUGAUUAAUGCGUUCUGUGUUUGAAGUGUGAUUGUGUAAUGGGACAUGCGUAUUUGAGGUUUGGGUCAUUUGGUGUUACGAGAUUCUCAUAUUUGAUUAUUUCUAGAGUUGUAGCUUCUGAUUUUGUUGUUGUAUUUGAAGCUGAGACUUGAAUUGUAAACGAUUUGUUUGUGUUGUUUUAUUUGUUUCUUUUCUGCACACUUAAAGCACAUUGAUUGGGUUACGAAUGUGUUUCAUCGAAUUGCAUUAAUGGGUACUU